UACGAGGGGGGCAAGCGUUGUUCGGAAUUAUUGGGCGUAAAGGGCGCGUAGGCGGUGCGGUAAGUCUGAUGUGAAAUCUCCGGGCUCAACUCGGAGUCUGCAUCAGAAACUGCCGUGCUUGAGUGUGGGAGAGGUGAGUGGAAUUCCCGGUGUAGCGGUGAAAUGCGCAGAUAUCAGGAGGAACACCAAUUGCGAAGGCAGCUCGCUGGGACGUGACUGACGCUGAGACGCGAAGCGUGGGGAGCAAACAGG
rnacentral:rRNA from 1 species